CUAUUGAUACAUAGUCUUUGGUAUUACAAUGAAGUAAUUACAACAAGUUUUACUACUAUUAUUGUUCCCCUCUUCAAGUAAGCAUAGACUCACAGAAGUCCAAGACUGAAAGGGACCAAAAUCUCAUCUAGUCCCAGCUCUGCCUUUUACAAGGAAAAAGUUUAUUGCUGAAAAGUCAUGUGAUUCCUCAAGGUCUCACAACUCCUUAAGAUAUGUCUGAUGCACAGAAAUGAGUUUGGAAGGCUAUGCAGUAAGAUGCCGUCAGUGGUAAUCUUGGCAAUUCAGUUCCCCCUAGUGCUUCACCGCAGAGUACAGAAGGUUACCAAAUCCUCCAGUUUCUACCACAGGGAUCCAAUGUGGAAAGAAGAAAGCAACCCUAUCACUCUUUAGCAGCUAAAGAUGUUAUACUGAUCACAGCUAAGAAACUGGAGCUUCCCCAUGUGAGAUGUGAAAACAUUUGAAUCUCUUCAGGAUCUUGGAAGGGAAAAGAAAUACACAAGCAGCAAGGAAAAAGUAUUGAUGACAGCGAUUAUUCCUGGAUAGAAAACAGCCACAUAACCCAUUUGGUGAAAAGAGAGGAAAAAGGCAAUGUAUUGAUCUGAGUGAACACACAGCAAAGGCCCUUCCAUGCAACCUCUCAAAGAGAUGCGAUGAGCCUUCAAUUUAGAAAAGCUUACUCUAUUGCUGCUAAAGGUCGGAGUUCCCUGUUGACAAAUCAAGCAAAGAUUUGUUGACAAAUCAAAUGUUCAUCAGAAGUUCUUCUACUGUGAAUUGCUGCUUCUACUUGAUCUUCAGUUAGUUAUAUGUUAGGUACCAGUAAAAUUUAAUAAUCAGGACACAGCCUUAAAAGAUACUAUUUGAUUUUGAAAAUCAAAACAAAAAUUGCUUUAUAUUUCUACAGUGAUCAUUGUUCAGUCUUUGAAAUAGAAUGAUGGGGUUUUCUAUUUUGAAAAGAAUUUAGAAAAAUUUAGUACAGCCUCCACUUUUCUUGUUCUUUUUCCUUUUUUUUUUUUUUUUUGAGGAUUUCAUGAUGUUAUGGUUUCUUUUUAAUGAAAACUUUCAAAUAUAAACAUAAAAGAGAAAAAAAUAGAAUAAUGAACCCCAUAUACCUAUCACCAGGUUGAACAAUGAUCAAGAUUACGCCAGAGCUGAUUCAUCUAUUUCCCAUGUCCCCUUUCACAUCUCCUUUUUAGGGGGUGGAGGGGGUGGGGUAUUAUUUAGAAGUAAACUUCAGCCGUCAUAUCAUUCCAUUCCUACAUAUUUCAGCAAGCAUCUCUAAAACAUACGGACAUUUUCUUACCCAACCAUAAUGCCACUAUUAUACCUAACAAAAUUAAUGAUUCCUAACAAAAUGAAUGAUUACCUGGUACAUCCCGAGUUCAGAUUCUAAUUGCCUAGAUUUUCUCAGAAAGGUCUUUCAUCAAAUCACAAUCCAGACAAUACCUGCUUAUAUCAUUUAACUGUUUGGCCUUUUAUUAAGUCUCUUUUAAUUUUGAGAUCAUUUAGUCCUCCCUCCCUACCCCACCCCCACCCAUUUUUGUUAUUGCUGGUGGUGGUGGUGGUGAUGUUGAUGGCAUUGAUUUGUUGAUGAAACAGGGUCACUGGGCUCCACGUCCUUUUACUUUUUUAACUGUAGAAGAAGUAGAGGCUUUAAGAACUUGAAUGAAUUUCCCCCAAAGAGGUAGUUAAUCAAUACAGAGUAGAAUUCAGAGCUCCUAACUCCAUCCUAUCAUGCCCUUUCCCGUGCAUAUAUCAUGUUGUCAUGCUGUUUUACUAUAUUUAUGAUUUUAAUGUUCUAGUGGUUCAGAAAAUUUAAAUAACAUUUUAAACUUUAUUUCUUCUAUGUUUAUUUAUAUUUAAAAUUCCUACUAUUUUCCAAAAGUUAGUCAGUAUUUAGAAUUUGCAGCUUGUGUUUCCCCAGUGCCUGGCCCUUUGA